rnacentral:tRNA from 1 species
AUAACUGAGUGUGCUAUGUCAGCUGAGUGUAGCGCUAACAACGCUAAGGUCGCGGGUUCGAUUCCCGUU